rnacentral:misc_RNA from 1 species
GGGGGAGUGUGUAACAACUCACCUG